rnacentral:rRNA from 1 species
GAUUAACGCUGGCGGCGUGCAUAACACAUGCAAGUCGAACGAUGAAACUUAGUGGACUUCUUCGGAAAGACACUAAGCGGAUUAGUGGCGAACGGGUGAGUAACGCGUGAGUAACCUGCCUUACACAAGGGGAUAGCCUUUGGAAACGAAGAAUAAUACCCUAUAAAACCAUAAAAGCACAUGCUAGAAUGGUCAAAGUGAUAGCGGUGUAAGAUGGACUUGCGUCUGAUUAGCUAGUUGGUGAGAUAAAAGCUCACCAAGGCAACGAUCAGUAGCCGGCUUGAGAGAGUGUACGGCCACAUUGGGACUGAGACACGGCCCAGACUCCUACGGGAGGCAGCAGUGGGGAAUUUUGCACAAUGGGGGAAACCCUGAUGCAGCGACGCCGCGUGAUUUAGAAGGCCUUCGGGUUGUAAAAAUCUUUUGUAUAGGAAGAAAAUGACAGUACUAUACGAAUAAGGUCCGGCUAAUUACGUG